rnacentral:rRNA from 1 species
UUAAGCGACUAAGCGUACACGGUGGAUGCCCUGGCAGUCAGAGGCGAUGAAGGACGUGCUAAUCUGCGAUAAGCGUCGGUAAGGUGAUAUGAACCGUUAUAACCGGCGAUUUCCGAAUGGGGAAACCCAGUGUGAUUCGUCACACUAUCAUUAACUGAAUCCAUAGGUUAAUGAGGCGAACCGGGGGAACUGAAACAUCUAAGUACCCCGAGGAAAAGAAAUCAACCGAGAUUCCCCCAGUAGCGGCGAGCGAACGGGGAGCAGCCCAGAGCCUGAAUCAGUGUGUGUGUUAGUGGAAGCGUCUGGAAAGGCGCGCGAUACAGGGUGACAGCCCCGUACACAAAAAUGCACAUACUGUGAGCUCGAUGAGUAGGGCGGGACACGUGGUAUCCUGUCUGAAUAUGGGGGGACCAUCCUCCAAGGCUAAAUACUCCUGACUGACCGAUAGUGAACCAGUACCGUGAGGGAAAGGCGAAAAGAACCCCGGCGAGGGGAGUGAAAAAGAACCUGAAACCGUGUACGUACAAGCAGUGGGAGCACGCUUAGGCGUGUGACUGCGUACCUUUUGUAUAAUGGGUCAGCGACUUAUAUUCUGUAGCAAGGUUAACCGAAUAGGGGAGCCGAAGGGAAACCGAGUCUUAACUGGGCGUUAAGUUGCAGGGUAUAGACCCGAAACCCGGUGAUCUAGCCAUGGGCAGGUUGAAGGUUGGGUAACACUAACUGGAGGACCGAACCGACUAAUGUUGAAAAAUUAGCGGAUGACUUGUGGCUGGGGGUGAAAGGCCAAUCAAACCGGGAGAUAGCUGGUUCUCCCCGAAAGCUAUUUAGGUAGCGCCUCGUGAAUUCAUCUCCGGGGGUAGAGCACUGUUUCGGCAAGGGGGUCAUCCCGACUUACCAACCCGAUGCAAACUGCGAAUACCGGAGAAUGUUAUCACGGGAGACACACGGCGGGUGCUAACGUCCGUCGUGAAGAGGGAAACAACCCAGACCGCCAGCUAAGGUCCCAAAGUCAUGGUUAAGUGGGAAACGAUGUGGGAAGGCCCAGACAGCCAGGAUGUUGGCUUAGAAGCAGCCAUCAUUUAAAGAAAGCGUAAUAGCUCACUGGUCGAGUCGGCCUGCGCGGAAGAUGUAACGGGGCUAAACCAUGCACCGAAGCUGCGGCAGCGACGCUUAUGCGUUGUUGGGUAGGGGAGCGUUCUGUAAGCCUGCGAAGGUGUGCUGUGAGGCAUGCUGGAGGUAUCAGAAGUGCGAAUGCUGACAUAAGUAACGAUAAAGCGGGUGAAAAGCCCGCUCGCCGGAAGACCAAGGGUUCCUGUCCAACGUUAAUCGGGGCAGGGUGAGUCGACCCCUAAGGCGAGGCCGAAAGGCGUAGUCGAUGGGAAACAGGUUAAUAUUCCUGUACUUGGUGUUACUGCGAAGGGGGGACGGAGAAGGCUAUGUUGGCCGGGCGACGGUUGUCCCGGUUUAAGCGUGUAGGCUGGUUUUCCAGGCAAAUCCGGAAAAUCAAGGCUGAGGCGUGAUGACGAGGCACUACGGUGCUGAAGCAACAAAUGCCCUGCUUCCAGGAAAAGCCUCUAAGCAUCAGGUAACAUCAAAUCGUACCCCAAACCGACACAGGUGGUCAGGUAGAGAAUACCAAGGCGCUUGAGAGAACUCGGGUGAAGGAACUAGGCAAAAUGGUGCCGUAACUUCGGGAGAAGGCACGCUGAUAUGUAGGUGAAGUGAUUUACUCAUGGAGCUGAAAUCAGUCGAAGAUACCAGCUGGCUGCAACUGUUUAUUAAAAACACAGCACUGUGCAAACACGAAAGUGGACGUAUACGGUGUGACGCCUGCCCGGUGCCGGAAGGUUAAUUGAUGGGGUUAGCGCAAGCGAAGCUCUUGAUCGAAGCCCCGGUAAACGGCGGCCGUAACUAUAACGGUCCUAAGGUAGCGAAAUUCCUUGUCGGGUAAGUUCCGACCUGCACGAAUGGCGUAAUGAUGGCCAGGCUGUCUCCACCCGAGACUCAGUGAAAUUGAACUCGCUGUGAAGAUGCAGUGUACCCGCGGCAAGACGGAAAGACCCCGUGAACCUUUACUAUAGCUUGACACUGAACAUUGAGCCUUGAUGUGUAGGAUAGGUGGGAGGCUUUGAAGUGUGGACGCCAGUCUGCAUGGAGCCGACCUUGAAAUACCACCCUUUAAUGUUUGAUGUUCUAACGUGGACCCGUAAUCCGGGUUGCGGACAGUGUCUGGUGGGUAGUUUGACUGGGGCGGUCUCCUCCUAAAGAGUAACGGAGGAGCACGAAGGUUGGCUAAUCCUGGUCGGACAUCAGGAGGUUAGUGCAAUGGCAUAAGCCAGCUUGACUGCGAGCGUGACGGCGCGAGCAGGUGCGAAAGCAGGUCAUAGUGAUCCGGUGGUUCUGAAUGGAAGGGCCAUCGCUCAACGGAUAAAAGGUACUCCGGGGAUAACAGGCUGAUACCGCCCAAGAGUUCAUAUCGACGGCGGUGUUUGGCACCUCGAUGUCGGCUCAUCACAUCCUGGGGCUGAAGUAGGUCCCAAGGGUAUGGCUGUUCGCCAUUUAAAGUGGUACGCGAGCUGGGUUUAGAACGUCGUGAGACAGUUCGGUCCCUAUCUGCCGUGGGCGCUGGAGAACUGAGGGGGCUGCUCCUAGUACGAGAGGACCGGAGUGGACGCAUCACUGGUGUUCGGGUUGUCAUGCCAAUGGCACUGCCCGGUAGCUAAAUGCGGAAGAGAUAAGUGCUGAAAGCAUCUAAGCACGAAACUUGCCCCGAGAUGAGUUCUCCCUGACCCUUUAAGGGUCCUGAAGGAACGUUGAAGACGACGACGUUGAUAGGCCGGGUGUGUAAGCGCAGCGAUGCGUUGAGCUAACCGGUACUAAUGAACCGUGAGGCUUAACCUU